rnacentral:misc_RNA from 1 species
GUCAUUUUCAAGCUCACCAUUUAACUCUGUCAAACAUCCAAGCGUAAACAUCAAGACCUUGCGGCCCUGAGCCAAUGUGUCAGUCCCACCAGCCAGCCUAGACCAGACUAGCUAAACUAGCCAGCCCAGACCAGACCAGACCAGCGGACCAACGCGAGAUUUGUAAUGAUCCUUCCGCAGGUUCACCUACGGAAA